AGUCGAACGGAGAUUACAGGCGGAAGUUUUCGGAUGGAAGCUUGUAAACUUAGUGGCGGACGGGUGAGUAACACGUGAGCAACCUGCCUAUCAGAGGGGGAUAACGAUUGGAAACGAUCGCUAAUACCGCAUGACAUAGCGGAAUCGCAUGGUUCUGUUAUCAAAGAUUUUAUCGCUGAUAGAUGGGCUCGCGUCCGAUUAGAUAGUUGGUGGGGUAACGGCCUACCAAGUCGACGAUCGGUAGCCGGACUGAGAGGUCGAACGGCCACAUUGGGACUGAGACACGGCCCAGACUCCUACGGGAGGCAGCAGUGGGGGAUAUUGCACAAUGGGGGAAACCCUGACGCAGCGACGCCGCGUGAGGGAAGACGGUCCUCUGGAUUGUAAACCUCUGUCUUCGGGGACGAAACGAGACGGUACCCGAGGAGGAAGCCACGGCUAACUACGUGCCAGCAGCCGCGGUAAUACGUAGGUGGCAAGCGUUGUCCGGAAUUACUGGGUGUAAAGGGAGCGCAGGCGGGAAGACAAGUUGGAAGUGAAAACCAUGGGCUCAACCCAUGAAUUGCUUUCAAA
rnacentral:rRNA from 1 species